rnacentral:rRNA from 1 species
GACGAAGGGGGCUAGCGUUGCUCGGAAUCACUGGGCGUAAAGGGUGCGUAGGCGGGUCUUUAAGUCAGGGGUGAAAUCCUGGAGCUCAACUCCAGAACUGCCUUUGAUACUGAGGAUCUUGAGUUCGGGAGAGGUGAGUGGAACUGCGAGUGUAGAGGUGAAAUUCGUAGAUAUUCGCAAGAACACCAGUGGCGAAGGCGGCUCACUGGCCCGAUACUGACGCUGAGGCACGAAAGCGUGGGGAGCAAACAGG